rnacentral:tRNA from 3 species
GAGGUUGUAGCUCAGUUGGUUAGAGCGCUAGAUUGUGGUUCUAGAGGUCGUGGGUUCGAAACCCAUCAUCCUCC